rnacentral:miRNA from 1 species
AAUAAAAAAUAAAAAGGAGCUGGGGAUGUGGCUCAGUGGUUAAGCAUCCCUGAGUUCAAUCCCUGGUACCAAAAGAAAAGAAAUAUAUGUAGAUAGAUAAAGAGAGAGACUAUCCCUAACACCUCAAUACCUGUCUCUGCCACACUCUGUCUUUCCAGUACCACGGAUUGAACCCAGGGUGCUCUACCACUGAGCCACUUCCCCAGCUCUUUAUUUUUUUUAUUUU